rnacentral:lncRNA from 1 species
UUUUUAAAACUUACUUUAUUGGCCUGCUUGCCAUUAUUUUUAAAUAAUGAUCUUUCACCCAGUCAAAUUGUGUAUUUUUUUUUAAAAAAAUUGUGUAUUUUACGGUUCCCACAAUGAGGACCAUGGUUAUUAAAAAAAAAGAAGGAAUGCUUAUAAUUUCUUAAUUUUUUAAAAUAUUACUCCAAGAAUGAUCAGGAGUAGAUAAUUUGAAUUGGGUUACGUCUUUUUUUCAUCUAAGCAACCUUCGAGCUACGUCAAACUUAAGAUUAGUGGAAUCGACAACUAGAUUACGUGGAGUCCUCUCUUUAGGUUUCCUUCCUAGUUUUUUUUUUUUCACUGAAAGGUAAUAUUGAUAAUCAAAAGUUCGGAUAGGUUACAAAUCACAAGAUAAAAGACGAGAAUUAAAUUACAGAGAAACACAAUGAUCGACCAUAACCUACAAUAGGAAAAGAGUUUUCGAAUGCAUUGCAUAAACCAAACCCAACUUGUCUUGAGACUGUUGAAGCUCUCGAAACUCACCAUAAAGACUUUCCGCAUAACAAUAUAUGAGAACGGGCUUCAACAAAAAUGGCGAAAACAAGAGAGUGAAACUUGGCCUUCUCCGCAUAAGAUGCAUCUUUUUCUAUGAGUGUCUUUGUCAAGGGUCUCCCGGAUGAACCGUAAGAUAAUCGAGACCCACUUAGACCUUUCAACGCCACAACGAACAAGUAAUUAAGCCAAACAUUGCUUAAUACUACAAGAGAUAGAUCCUAGACAUAACCAAAGAGCUAUACCCCAAACUAACAAAGUAAUAUAGUCGAGGAAGAGAAGCUUAGCCCAAAAGAGGGAGACGACAGCCCAAACGAGGGAGACAACUAAAACCUGAGCAACUGAUGAAACCAGAUCUAAAUCGGAUACAAUCUGAUCAGAGCAAACAGGAGACACAAGAAGGAAGACAGUAGAGACGAGGAAGAUACCAAGAAAACAAAGAGGCGAUCCACUGAUGCACAGAUUUGCCGAGGAAGGAAGAGAGAGGAGCCGUCGCGAGAAAAAACCAGACCCACCAAUGUCGCCUAGGCUCACCGAAGAGAUCAAUCGGACUGAUCUGAGUCAAGCCAUAGAUCCACUUCGUGAACUGCGAACAAAAACGGCGACCCGAGCACACUAACGACCAACAGAACCGACGGAUCUGAAAACCAAAGAAGAAUCUCAAUAGAUUUGAGCCUCGAAACCCAUGGCUCCACCACGUCAAAAACCACCACGCUUCAACAACCGAAGGAUACAGAGACAAGAAAUAAAAAACUAAGCAAGAAAUUAGAGGAGGUGACCGACGCCGGCGCUAUAUGAUCCGCCACGCGCCGGUCAAAAACUUGACUGAAGCUUUGUUUUAAGGCAGGCGGCGAGAGAGAAAAGCUAGGUUAAAAGAAUUUUUUACUGAAACGAAAAGAAGAGAUUUUUAUUUUUUCGGUUUAACCAUUCAUUGUCUUGUUUCCUUCCUAGUUUGUUUGUUUUUUUUUCAUCUGAAUGAUUCCAUUAUAUUAUACGAAGGUAGAAUGCAGUUUUGAAAUACAAGACCGACAAGAGUCGAAACUCUUUUGGAAACUAAGCCGGCGGAAGACAUAAAUAUCCCCGGAGUCUAAAAGCCCAAAAGAGGGAAGCGAAAGCCCAAAAGAGGGAAGCGAAAGCCCAACAAAGGGAAGUGAUGCCCUAAAACACAUGGACACUAACUAAAACCGAGUGAACAAACCACCGAAGACGAAACAAUGGACAAACUCGUAAACUAAAGCUCAGAAGGAAAUAAAAGGACAUGCCAAACUUACUCCAACACCGAUGUGAGCAAAGCUAGCCACAAAGGACAACAUGCGUCCAUCUUGCAGUUAACGAAACCUCCUAUUGUGAAGCCAAGGUACCUCUCAAAGCAGAUGAACCUAAACUUCUAUUCCGGCAAGACAAACAUGAGACACAUAAACCAAAUCCCACAAAUCUUCCAGAAGCGGCGAUUGUCGAAUACAACGACUAGGAGACGCCUCGUUAGAAGUCAUGAACUGACCAGACCUCGAUCAAGUCUUGAGUGUAGAGACAAGGAGCGAAACAAACCUCAAACCGGAAGAUACUACACUCAGAUGAGAGAAGCACACGAUCGAACCGGAGAGAUCACAUAAAGCUUAUCAAAGGGCUAAAGUAAGAUCAACAAAAUCACGAAACCAAAAGAGCGCCAGCAAGCUAUGACCAAAGCUUCGGGCUAACAGCAAGAGAAGAGAGAGCGAGGCAGCCUAAACUGACCUACACACUUUCUAAAACUGCCUAAACCAAAGAUUUGUACCACCCAAAGUCACAAAAACCAGAGACCAGAAGCAGCAAUCUCAAGGACGAAAGAAAACAAAAGUCAGAUGAUACCGUAGAGGAGGCAAGAACAUCUCGGCCGCAUUAGAAGCUAACACAUCGUGUAUCACCAUCGGACGCCAACGGGCCAUAACCAGAUCUGCAAAUACGCACAACAAAGCAACCGACGAGAUAGGACAAUUCGCGGCGCACCAACGCGAGCCAAAAGGAGACGAUUUUCAGGGAAGAUCUUGCCGAGAUCGGAAGAAGACCCAAACCUAAGCCGUUCCGAAACUUUUGUAACUAGAUCCGCUAGAGGAGGGCUAGGAAUGGCUCCGAAACUAAAGACGCAAGGAAGAACAAACCACGGACGGCCCUCUCACGACUCCGGCGAGAAGCGCCGGUGGCCGGAGAGGUCAAAUCAAAAGGAGAAGCUUGACGGCGGCUAGGGCGAGUUGGUCUUCGCAAUUCUUCUACGAGUCACGACCACCUCCAAGUUAAUUUCCUUCCUAGUUUCUAAUGAGGCUUUUAUUUGUCAAGUGAUAUAUAACAAAUAUGAAAUAUUGAUUUUUUUUUUG